rnacentral:tRNA from 1 species
UCCCUGGUGGCUUAGUCGGUAAAAAGUUUCUGUUUGCAAUGCAGAAGACCCAGGUUCAAUCCCUGGGUCGGGAA